AGAGUUUGAUCCUGGCUCAGGACGAACGCUGGCGGCGCGCCUAACACAUGCAAGUCGAACGGAGCUGAGAGGAGCUUGCUUUUCUUAGCUUAGUGGCGAACGGGUGAGUAACGCGUGAGUAACCUGCCCUGGAGUGGGGGACAACAGUUGGAAACGACUGCUAAUACCGCAUAAGCCCACGAUCCGGCAUCGGAUUGAGGGAAAAGGAUUUAUUCGCUUCAGGAUGGACUCGCGUCCAAUUAGCUAGUUGGUGAGGUAACGGCCCACCAAGGCGACGAUUGGUAGCCGGACUGAGAGGUUGAACGGCCACAUUGGGACUGAGACACGGCCCAGACUCCUACGGGAGGCAGCAGUGGGGGAUAUUGCACAAUGGGGGAAACCCUGAUGCAGCGACGCCGCGUGGAGGAAGAAGGUUUUCGGAUUGUAAACUCCUGUCGUUAGGGACGAUAAUGACGGUACCUAACAAGAAAGCACCGGCUAACUACGUGCCAGCAGCCGCGGUAAAACGUAGGGUGCAAGCGUUGUCCGGAAUUACUGGGUGUAAAGGGAGCGCAGGCGGACCGGCAAGUUGGAAGUGAAAACUAUGGGCUCAACCCAUAAAUUGCUUUCAAAACUGCUGGCCUUGAGUAGUGCAGAGGUAGGUGGAAUUCCCGGUGUAGCGGUGGAAUGCGUAGAUAUCGGGAGGAACACCAGUGGCGAAGGCGACCUACUGGGCACCAACUGACGCUGAGGCUCGAAAGCAUGGGUAGCAAACAGGAUUAGAUACCCUGGUAGUCCAUGCCGUAAACGAUGAUUACUAGGUGUUGGAGGAUUGACCCCUUCAGUGCCGCAGUUAACACAAUAAGUAAUCCACCUGGGGAGUACGACCGCAAGGUUG
rnacentral:rRNA from 1 species